CAAAGUCGCAGAAAAAUUUACCAAUAACGCUAAAUUCUUCUGUCUCACCUAAAACUGUCUGCUUGAACUCGAAUGCGUCUGAAGAACUGACCGCAAACUCAAGUUCCGAGCACGCAAAAAAGCCGGUGAAUUCCACACCAUGUAAAGACAAAUCAGCGACACGGAAAACACAACUGUUCCCUGAAGAUGAAGAAGAAUAUUUUAAAGAUGUAGAUGAAGAGGGCGAGUUAGAGAAUUCUAAAGAUAAUGAAGAAUUAAGCUUUUUUCAGAAAGCAGUGCUGGCGAACUUCAAGCAUUUGAAGGAGCAAAAUGACAUAAUAAUUGAACAAAACAAGCUCAUCAUCAAAGAGUUUAAU